CGGGCGGCGGCGACGAGGGAAAGGUGGCCAGCGUGGAGGUAGCCCAUGGUGGGCACGAGGGCGAUUGUCUUGCCGUGGUAGUGCUGGUGGCGGGACCAGGAGCGCAUCGCAUCCUUGUCGGUGAUCACCAACGGUGGAUCCUCGGCGAUGACGGUGGCAGCGGCCAUUGGUGAGCGAGGGAGAAGGGGAUUGGGGAGGGAGGUGAUCACCAUCGGUGGAUCCUCGGCGGUGGCAGUGGCGGUCAUUGAUGAGCGAGGGAGAAGGGGAUUGGAGAAGGAGGUGAUCACCAACGGUGGCUCCUCGGCGGUGGUGGUGCCGGCGG
rnacentral:misc_RNA from 1 species